GUUGCCAGGAGAACUGACAUGGGGUGCAGCAGAGGGCAAGAAUGUUACCAAGACCAGCUGGGAGUCUAUCACAGUCCUCCAGGAGAGAAAGAAUCAUCGCCUGGACCAGAUUCUUGUGAGGGCAACAGUGAAGUCUUUCCCAUCCUCAACUCAGAUGGAAAAGAUUCAAAUUCAGACCACCCCCAGGAUAAUCUGGAGGACUACCACCUAGACCCAUGCCUAAUGGUGGAAACCAAAGUGAUGGACCUCAGCAGAGAUCACCCCCCACAGGAUAGUGAAACUCAGCAGAGACCACCCACUCCAAGACAUUUUUGUAAUCGCUGUUCUCUCACACCUCCUCCUGGGAAGAAUCAGGGACCACCACCCCUGGGACCACCACCACAAGGACCUCCCCAAGGCCCACCACUCCAGUAAUCUGGAAUUG